GUCCGUCGCUAAAUGUCUGCCUCUAAACUGCCAGAUUCUUGUAGUGAUAAUAAAAUUCUUUAUAAGAAAUAACAAUAUGUCAGAGAUGCAACUAGAAUUAAAUGUAAAAGCUGUGAAUUAUAAAUAGAUUACUAUAUACUGUAUAAACCGAAAUCUAUCCAUUAAUAGAAAGUCAUUAAUUACAGCCAAAGAUGAACCAUGGACUC
rnacentral:lncRNA from 1 species